CCAGACUCCUACGGGAGGCAGCAGUGGGGAAUAUUGCACAAUGGGGGAAACCCUGAUGCAGCGACGCCGCGUGAAGGAAGAAGUAUUUCGGUAUGUAAACUCCUAUCAGCAGGGAAGAAAAUGACGGUACCUGACUAAGAAGCCCCGGCUGACUACGUGCCAGCAGCCGCGGUAAUACGUAGGGAGCGAGCGUUGUCCGGAAUUACUGGGUGUAAAGGGAGCGUAGGCGGGACUGCAAGUUGGGUGUCAAAUCUACCGGCUCAACCGGUAGCCGCACUCAAAACUGCAGUUCUUGAGUGAAGUAGAGGCAGGCGGAAUUCCUAGUGUAGCGGUGAAAUGCGUAGAUAUCAGGAGGAACACCGGCGGCGAAGGCGGCCUGCUGGACCGCGACUGACGUUGAGGCUCGAAAGCGUGGGGAGCAAACAGGAUUAGAUACCCCAGUAU
rnacentral:rRNA from 1 species